GUAUGCGUAGCUUAAGUGGAUAAAGUGACCUAUGAAGUAGAUAGGGGUUCAAAUCCCCUCGCAUAUC
rnacentral:tRNA from 3 species